UACAGAGGGGGCAAGCGUUGUUCGGAAUUACUGGGCGUAAAGGGCGCGUAGGCGGCCCUCUAAGUCAGACGUGAAAUCCCUCGGCUCAACCGGGGAACUGCGUCUGAGACUGGAAGGCUUGAAUUCGGGAGAGGGAUGUGGAAUUCCAGGUGUAGCGGUGAAAUGCGUAGAUAUCUGGAGGAACACCGGCGGCGAAGGCGGCAUCCUGGACCGAUAUUGACGCUGAUGCGCGAAAGCCAGGGGAGCAAACGGG
rnacentral:rRNA from 1 species